rnacentral:rRNA from 1 species
CCUACGGGAGACAGCAGUGGGGAAUAUUGCACAAUGGGGGAAACCCUGAUGCAGCGACGCCGCGUGAAGGAUGAAGUAUUUCGGUAUGUAAACUUCUAUCAGCAGGGAAGAAAAUGACGGUACCUGACUAAGAAGCCCCGGCUAACUACGUGCCAGCAGCCGCGGUAAUACGUAGGGGGCAAGCGUUAUCCGGAUUUACUGGGUGUAAAGGGAGCGCAGGCGGCACGGCAAGCCUGAUGGGAAAGCCCGCGGCCCAACCGCGGGACUGCAUUGGGAACUACCGGGCUGGAGUGCCGGAGAGGUAGGCGGAAUUCCUAGGGUAGCGGUGAAAUGCGGAGAUAUUAGGAGGAACACCAGUGGCGAAGGCGGCCUACUGGACGGUGACUGACGCUGAGGCUCGAAAGCGUGGGGAGCAAACAGGAUUAGAUACCCCUGGUAGUC